UGGAGGGGACGGAGCCACAGCUCGUGAUGGGGGGCCGGCUGUCACCGCUGCUUGCAACCCGGGAAGGCACCGGGGAGGUUAUGCUACAGUCAAAACUGCAGUUGAAAGGGAUUUCUUCUUUCCUUUUAUUUUUGUUAACUUACGGAGGAGGAAAUAAUUUCAGUUCGCUUUAGGAAUCGGUCUUUCCUUUGCACCUGUUUUUCCUAAGUUAGUCUUUGGAACAAUACUGGCUCAAUUAUAGUGAAGUAAUAUCAUGCAUUUUGAGCUUGGGGAAUCCACAGACCGUGUAAUUCUCUGCAUUUCCUCCCCCUUCCUUGCAUCCCACUUUUUGACAGUGUCAUUCUGCUGGAGCUAUGCUGGAAAACCUUGCAAGCUUGCGUGUGCGUGUGUGUGCGCGUGUGUGUGUGUGUCCACACAUGCUGCAUGGAAAAUCCUACACUUUGUUUAGUCUGCAGAACCUCUUCUGUUAGCUAAUGCUCCAGGCUCCUCAAAGGUGCAGAGAGAGAGGAGCACUAGUAAGUACCUAAGGCAGAAAGCAAACAAGGGCUUUAUCACUGGUCUUUAACUCCUAUCAAAAGGGAAGUGAGGGAGAAGUCAUUUAAACAUGAGGCUUGAAUGAAAAUUAGCAUGGAUUAGUCACAGUUGUCCCAGGAGUCCUGUUAUCUCAGGUCACAGGUACUUAUGGUAGGGAGUGGGGAACUUUACCUCUAGGAUCCCCAAAUGAAAGACUCUUGAGGGAGCCAAGAGGGGGAGGAAGAGUCCUGGGUCUGUUUUUAGCCAAAGGGAAUUACCCUUGAGGCAUGGCAGGAGUAGUGUGUGUCUCCCUGUCUUUUCCCAGUGGAUGAGCUCCUGGGCAGUUCAUGCAUGGAGGAAGGAUGACUCUCUAGCCUGUUCCCCACAGGUAAACUGCAACAAAUUGAACUGAUUUGGAGAAACGAGUGGGUUACGUCUGAGCAGCUUCCUUGUUUGGUAGUCAGUUGGCUGAAGAGUGGUUGAUGCUGAUGUUACUUAAUACUAAAUUUACCCUUCUGUGGCCCCUGGCAGAGAGAUCGGGGCAUUCAUCCUCCACUUUGCACAGACUGGAGGGAACAACCUGGCUCCCAUCUUAGUUUUGAAGAACUUCAUUGCUGAAAAAUCAAAUGUGCACGUUCCCUAAGGAACGUAUCCAUUCAAAGGCAUGAAAUAUAAACGUAUAUUGUUACUUGCAAAUGCUUUGCACAAGUACAUUUGCUGGAUGCUUUUGGUAUGUUCUUCAAGCAAGUAGUGUCGUUAGCUGUUAAAUUCUUGACUCCUCUGUUAGGCUUGGGACAGAAAUUACACACAAGCUGGUCUAAGAGAUUGGAAACAGGUUCAGAUCUGGAACACAACAGAAGGAUGGUGCACGUAAGCCACUUUCAAGAUUGCCGAAACGGGUUUAAGAUAAGCCUGGAUGGAUGUAGUAUUAGACUUUAACUGAUUUAGAUUAAAUUGGUUUAUUGUACUUCUGACCCAGACCCUCUCCAGAUUCAUAUUAACACAUAGUCCCCCAGCAUCCCUGGACCUCUGCCAGCCUGCAAGGGAAAAACCACCUUUGCCCACAUUUUCCUCCAUUAAAAGACAAUCCACUCUUAAAGUUUGUUGAUCCAGUUUUAAAGUUUGUUCGUGACCCUUUCAUAGGCACUUGUGACCCCCUUUUGGGACACAACCCGCAAACUGAGAACCGCUGCGGUAGAGCAGCAGGGUCGGUCGCGGAGCGCGCUGCUGCGGAGCGGAGGGGCAGUGCCGCUCAACCCUUUGAGACGGAUCCCACGUACCAGAUCAGACCUCUUUGUGGGCCAGAUGAAGCCUGUGGGCUGUAGAUUGCCACCCCUCUUAUAGCUCCUUUUCAGCUGGGGCUUUGUAGAUGCUUCUGUUACGUUGUUUCUACAUCGAAAGACUCAUGCUACACGGCAGGGUAGGCUUUCACCUCCUAGACUAAGUCAAUCAGAGGUGCGUAAGCUUUUGUAAGCUAGCUUGCUUCUUACCCCUUUCUUUUUCCUCCCUUCCCUACCCUUUGUUUUCCAGUAACUGCUCUCUGUUUAGAACCGCUGCUUCCUGAAACGUCUUGUUUGACAACACAGCCGUCCAAUUUCUGAGUGGCUGGGGCUGCAGCCCCCCUAUCCGCAUGCUGUAGGGGCUGCAUGCCCACCAGAGCCGCAUCCUGCACGAGCUGAAAGGGGUCUGCAGGACCUCCCCAGCCACAGACUCCCUUGCACCAGGACUGUGCCGCCCUGCCUUGGCCCUAGUGCAGAAGGGGUGGCGGGGGGAAGUGGGGACGCAGGAAGCAGAUGCUGGGCUAGGGAAGGGGAUUUUGGUGGCAGCAGCAGCAGCGAAGCGAUGGGGCAAGCAGACUCGGGACUGGGAGUUUGGGAGCUGCACGCAGCACACAGGCCGCCAGUCGGAUGGCCGUAACUGGUUGGCUUUCUGUGGUUUACUCUCCUUAUGUGCUGUCCCUAUAUUCAUUUGAGUUCUCGUUGAGUUUUCCUUUUCUUACUCCUUUUUUGAAACAUCUCCUAGGUUGAUCCUGAUGGUAAAACAAGCGUACCCGUUAAGAUGACUGCGGGGAAAGUAUCCUGUUUUCAUCUACGCGGCCUGCAAAAUCUUAAAAUCUUGAAGACCUGGACUUCUUCAGCUGUGACAUCACAAACCUGAAGGAUUACAGGGAAAGGAUUUUUGAGCUGCUUCAGGAGAUCACCUACCUGGAUUGAUUUGAUCAGGAAGAAGGGGAUGAGGAGGAUGAAGCAGAUGAAGAUGAAGCUGGUCCACCAGGAGAGUACAAAGAAGAUGAAGAUGGUGGAGGUUCAGAUUUGGGGGAGGGGGAAAAGGAGGAAGAAGCUGGCCUUUCAUACCUGAUGAUGGACAAGAUCCAGGUAGGACUUACCCUAUUCUACUGUAAGGCUCAGGAUUUUCUUGAUACUAUCUAGCUAUAAACGUGUAAUAUUUUAAACGUUUAUAAGCAUAGUCAUGUAAAUCCACUAUCAUAUGUGAGCGAUAGAGUACUUUAGAGAGAGACCUUUUACUAUCAAAGAAGUGCGUUACAGUAGGGGAACCACCGCUCUUUGGUAUUCUCCGUUACCUUGCUCAACAUGAAAUGCUGCAAGAUUCAUUACUUCACGGCCUUGUAGAAUUAGUGUCAUUCUGCACCAGAUCACCAAGUCCAAUUUGGAGGAGAACGUGGCCGAAACAAAUCCACCUGCCCUACCAGGAUGCUCACAAGUGUCUGGGGCGCUUCAGCCUUGAGAGCCAUGUCCUCACCAUGCAGAUCUGCAGGUUGUCAGGUGUGGGGCUGGGGCUUCCAGGCAUGGGGGAGAGGGUGAGUAUGGAGGAGCUAGGGCCUGAGGGUGCAGGGAGCUGAUCAGGAUGUGAGGGCUGAGGCAAAGGGGAGACAGGCUGGGAAUCCAGGAGUGAGGGCUGGCCACUGAGGAAGAAGUCAGGGAGAGGCUGGAGCUGUGGCCCUGGGAGUGCCGUGGGUUCGGCCAUGCAGGGGAGAGCUGGGGUGGGGAGCGGAGACUUGCCUUGGGUGGGAGCGCAUUGCCCUUGCCCUGGGUAGGAGCACAGGACCUUGAGCUCCUCUUAGUGGAGGGAGGUGGGUGGGGAGUUGGAUCCUGGCAUUUUGGGGAAGGAGAAGGGAUUGGACGCUCCUUUCACCCCACUUAUCUCAGGGCCCUUUUCUUUCCUUGCCAGGGGGGCAGAAAACCCAUGUGAUGUUUGCUGAGCUGACCUGCAGGGAGCCUGAUGGACCCAGGAGAUGGGAACGGGGCUGUGUUGGGUUUGCUGCUCUGGGAAGGAAGCGAGUUAGAGCAGAGCAGGCGUGAGGACCAGGACUUGCAGGUUGUGCCCUGCUCUGGCUCUUUGAAAGGAGUGCUGUCCAGCAUGCCAUAGUGAGGGGCAUGGUUUGGGAGGACUCCUGGGUCCUGUUUCUAGCUGAGGGAAGGAGGGCAGGGGGUGGGAGGAAGGCUCUGUGGCUCAGGACUCCUGGCUUCUUUUUGGGAUCUGUCACUUCCCCAGAAUGAACCCACAAAUGAUCUGUGCAUUGAAUCAAUUGAUCCCUUGGGUGAUGCUGUCAGCACGUACAUGGAGGUGAGUGGAAGCAGCGCGGUGGGAGGUGUCCACUGCCCUGAUCAGAGGAGGCUGGGGUUGGGGGAAUACUGGGCCCAUGGAUCGGAUUGAAGGGUGGAUGGCGAUACUGGGCUGGGGUGGCCUCAUGGGUCCCAUCUGUCAGGCAGAGGAAGGUAGUAAUAGGUGCAUGGGUCAGAUCUAGGCUGGCAUGGGGCUGCAGGGAAGCAGAAGGGUUACUUGGCUGGGGGUGGACCCGUGGGUCCCACGGGAGGGUUUGUAUACUACAAGCAGGGCCCUCCUGCCAGGGUCCCCGUUGGGUCCCAGUCGUGCCCUUCCCUGCCCAGCCCUGUCCUGGCAGUGGCUGAUGGGGAAAACGUGGGGUCUUUCCAUUCUCCUUCAGUAUGGAAAUGACCUCUGCUUUGCCUCCCAGCCCGCUCGUGCUUUGCCUCCUGUCUCUUCACAGCGGUUAUCAAUGUGAGCCAUGAUGCACGACUGAUCACGCAGACCAGCUGCCAGCUCUGGGUGGUGGAGGAGCAGUCCAUCAGCCAGAUCAACGGUGACUUCGACUGCAAACAGGAGGUGCUGGAGGCCUCGGGCCAGGGUGAGAGUUUUCUGUAGACAAAGCAUUGGACCCCAUGGACGUCCUGAUGAGGAUGAGAAAUCAGAGCAAUGACUACAUAGCGAUGUGGAGCGUCAUCUUGGGUCACGUGUGCUUCCAUCCUGACACUCGGUGAGCAAAUUCUGUCUUCCAGGUUCAGUCGGAGGGAAGGAAAAUCAGUGGAUGAUGGCACUGCAGGGUGCUGGACUCUCAGAUAGUUUCUAAACUAAACAAAAGUUGAAAUACCCCCCGGUGCUCAUAAGGGAAAUGCACCUUUGUGAGAUGUUUGUCAUGGGGGACAGUGGGCUUUGGCCAAAUCUGGGGAUUUGUUUGGGGGGUCUCUACAAAGGCACGAGAGAGAGGCAGAUAGCAGAGGCAGACACACACUGUGGGUAAAUGUGAUUCCACCUGACUAGCUGGUGUUUCACAUAACCUACAUCACCGUGCUACAUUCGCAACUACAUGGGCUCAUUUUGUGAUGUUUCUAGUAAGUGGGGGAGGUCGAGGCAGCAGCAGCCAGGGAGCAGGGAGCAGAUUUGCAUGAAGGAACAGAUCUUGGUCCGGGAGUCAGAGAGAGACUGGGAGGGUCCCAGCGAGAAGCUUCCUUGGCUCAGGAAGCUGACCUAGUCUGGAUUCCCACCAUAACCCCUCUCCUCCUUGUGCUGCUCACGUGCUGCUCGGGUAACUCAUCAAAGGCCGUGUGUUCCAGAUGACUUUUGCAGACCUUCCUGGGAUGAACAGAGAAAUGGGGAGCCCGCUGUACGAGAGGAGAGUAAAGGAACUGCCUUGUCCUACCUUGUGAGAAGCAGACCGAGAGUGGAGAUGACUGCUCUCUGCGAUUACAUCCAAGAGAGCCAAGAGCCAUGCAGAAGAAAAGGAGAGUGCCAGCUCCAGAAAAAAUUAUGUCAAAUCAAGGAAAUGGUCAACAGAGAACUGCCACGCUCAUCACAUGUACGCGUGUCUCAGAAGCCAGUAAAGGCAAGAAAGCUACACAGACGGACAAAAAACUAGAGCUCUUCCUUCCAAAAUGAUAUCUUUCGUUACACCAACUGGAGAAUCACAAGAAAAUUGUCCUUUUCUGCAAGCUUUCGGGAUCAAAGUCCCUUUGUCAAGCUCUGGGAAAAGUAUAGGUGGUACAAGAUGGUAAGGAGUCCCUAUAAGUAGGAAAUCAACUUCAUUUUUGCACGGAGGGAGCUGGAGAUGGAAGACUGUCCCUCUGGGUCCGUGAGAGUGUCUUUGUGAGCUGUGCCAAGUAGCUCUUUGCUGUGUUGGUCAGGUAGGACUCCUUCCCUGGAGGUGUCAGAUGGCAAGUGGGGAAGUAACAAAAACUUCCUUCUGGUUCUGCAAUGAAGUUUAAAACCCCAAAAAGAAAGCUACAUACACAUUUCAAUUGACAUAGCAGCUACAGGGAACAAAA